AGAAUCAACGCUGGCGGCGUGCCUAACACAUGCAAGUCGCACGAGAAAGGGGACUUCGGUCUCCGAGUACAGUGGCGCACGGGUGAGUAACACGUGAAUCAUCUACCUUCGAGUGUGGAAUAACUGAGAGAAAUCUUAGCUAAUACCGCAUAAUACCUACGGGUCAAAGCAGCAAUGCGCUUGAAGAGGAGUUCGCGGCAGAUUAGUUAGUUGGCGGGGUAAUGGCCCACCAAGACGAUGAUCUGUAUCCGGCCUGAGAGGGCGCACGGACACACUGGAACUGAAACACGGUCCAGACUCCUACGGGAGGCAGCAGUGGGGAAUUUUGCGCAAUGGGGGAAACCCUGACGCAGCAACGCCGCGUGGAGGAUGAAAUAUCUUGGUAUGUAAACUCCUUUCGAUGGGGAAGAUAAUGACGGUACCCAUAGAAGAAGCCCCGGCUAACUUCGCGCCAGCAGCCGCGGUAA
rnacentral:rRNA from 1 species